GACGAACGCUGGCGGCGUGCUUAACACAUGCAAGUCGAACGGUAAGGCCCUUCGGGGUACACGAGUGGCGAACGGGUGAGUAACACGUGGGUGAUCUGCCCUGCACUUCGGGAUAAGCCUGGGAAACUGGGUCUAAUACCGGAUAGGACCAUUGCCUGCAUGGGUGGUGGUGGAAAGCUUUUGCGGUGUGGGAUGGGCCCGCGGCCUAUCAGCUUGCUGGUGGGGUGAUGGCCUACCAAGGCGACGACGGGUAGCCGGCCUGAGAGGGUGACCGGGCACACUGGGACUGAGAUACGGCCCAGACUCCUACGGGAGGCAGCAGUGGGGAAUAUUGCACAAUGGGCGCAAGCCUGAUGCAGCGACGCCGCGUGAGGGAUGACGGCCUUCGGGUUGUAAACCUCUUUCAGCACCGACGAAGCGCAAGUGACGGUAGGUGCAGAAGAAGGACCGGCCAACUACGUGCCAGCCGCCGCGGUAA
rnacentral:rRNA from 1 species